GUCAGGCUGCUGUAUAUUAUGGAGGUCUGUCCCUUUGCUUGCAAUACAAUCUUUUUAUCAACUCAUUUGAUUGUCUUGUUACAAUGCUUGUUUCAUGUGGUAAAGGAAUUUAUGUCCAAAAAAUGAAUCAUUUAAUGUUCUAAUUUCCUUUUUGUUUCAAUUGGUUGACAAGGGUGUGAAAGCAAUGUAAUAUCUCAUCACGACAUUGAUUCAGCUCAAAUGGUUUAAAGACUCCAUUGU
rnacentral:misc_RNA from 1 species